GGAGCUGAUUUGCAAGAUAGAGAAAGAAGAGAAGACCUGUGAGUGAAAAGCUGGGGGAGGAGCCCACCUCAUGGGACCUUCAUAAAGAGAACAGCAAUGCUUCGACACACCACCUAACAGUAAGUGUUUCUCGAAAAUGCAAUUAUAAAAGCUGUUAGGGGAAAUGGCCUGGCAGUCUUCGCCAGGAGCUCUGCCCAAAGACCAUCAUGAAAAGAAAGAAGAAAAAACAAUUCCAAGCCAUGGGGCACAGUCUGAAACCCUGCAUUUACCAUUCAAGGAGGAAGUGGGCAACGAGGCCCAGACCCACCCCAAGAUACACAAGGAGUAUAUAGAGACCAUAGCCCAGCCACAAGCACCAACACUACCCUUUACCACAGGAAAAUGAAAUUCCCUAAAGUCUUCAGAUGAAGCUCAGAGAACAGGGUUUGCAGCAUCGUCUCUCAGAAGUACUUACCAGCUCCUUCACACACUGUUCUUGCUGCUUGAGCUGGGUCACAGAGAUGACCCACCAAGCCCCAUAUCCAGCUACCCUGAAGCUAAGGCUACUUCUGAGCAUAGGCACUGGAUACCCUCAAGUCUUGGAUGUGGACCAGAGCAAUAAGCACUGCAGCUCAGUUCCUUUUAGAAAAAUAGAUUGAUUCAUCAAAUGCCAAGGCAUUAAGGAUGUGCUUAUUUUAUCAUGGUACAUUUAGAAGCAGAAAUUGGAUGUCUCUGUCAUAACACCCUCUACAGUCUCAAGAAGCUUCCCUUAUUUUCUCUUAUCUCUAACAUGGUCAGUAAGUUCUGCUGCCUUCCCUUCCAUCCUGAGGUCUUCAAAACAUUCUCUGUCAUAAGCAAAGAUACCAACACCAGCAUGAAGGCAAAUCAGAGAGGAAUCCACAUGCAUCAGGUUCAUAAAGUGGAGCAAGAAGGGGAAUCAGGAGAGAAAUCUGACACACCAUUUGGAUUCAGCAGUGGCCGCUUUCUAAAGAAAAACUGGAGGCUUUAACUCACUUGGUUUCUGAACAGUUACAACUUGGAAAUGUGGAACCUUCUCUUUCCCCCGGAAUUUUCCUGUGUUUCUAGUAAAAAAGAAAUCAGGAGAUCAUCAAAUGAAAACCACAGGGAAAAGACGUCCAUGUCAGAGACCACCCUCAGACAUGGUGAGAUCUGUGACAACUCCUCAGAAGCUGGCACGCCAAAUCAAAAUUGGUCUGAUUCAAUCCUCCCUAAUGGCAAUGGAGACCCAUCUAACUAAUCUCACUUCUAAUUAUCUUUCUUUUUCUGCUUACAAACCUAAAAAUCUCACCAUUUCUGUUAGCCUAAAAAUAACAUCCCUCUGUUCUUCUCUUCUUCCUUCUGCACUGAAUCUCACAAUAGGUUUUAUUUAAUGAUUCUCCUCCUUAUACUUUCUGUCUCACUAGUUUCCUCUCACACUGAUUUACCUGCUACACAGAAUUAUUCUUAUUGGGCUUAUGUGCCUUUUCCUCCACUUAUUCGACCUCUCACCUGGAUGGAUGCUCCUGCAGAAAUCUACACUAACAAUAGUGUGUGGAUGCCUGCAGCUACAGAUGACCAUUGCCCUGCUCAA